GGCCAGAUUGACAGAGGAAGGGUGGAUGGAGAGAACCGAGCUCUCGCUGCACAGGGACAGAAAGCAGGACCUUUGGUUCUGUGGCUGGAUCGAUCACUAUUGAUAAGGUUACCAUGUGCAUGAGGUGCCAGACAUGAGGAGGAAGAGACAAAUGUGAGACGUGUACAGCUUUGAAUCACCUGUCAGAACACCAACAUUCUUUCCAGAUCUCUUUGUAUUUAAAAGACCUUUUAAGGCAUUUUAUAUUUACCAGUAUCCUGAAAACACAUAUACUGUACAUGCAGUGAUUUAUCUCAACACUUCACCCAUGAAACGCUCUCACCUGUGAGGUAAUGUAGUCACAGAGAAGAAUUAAGUUAAGAGGCCUAUCAGUGUAACUGAGGAGCAUCUUGCAGUUGUAGCUUUAAGGAGACUAGCGAGGCUUUUUGCUGCUCUCGCUGAGAAUCAACGAUACAAGCCUCUCAGCUUAAAUCCUAAUUGUGUCUGCAAACAAACUGAGUAUCCGCUAUUUAACUAUCCCUCCGCUCACAGAAGUGAGUAGAUGUGACAGAUUAAUCAUAUUUACUGGUUGAUCCACAAAAAUUUCCCACUCUUUGGUGGCCACAGUUUUUGCCCUGGGAGACUGAAAUUUGGCAUGGAGGUCAAGUGUGUGUUUGUUUUUAUGACAAAACUUAAUAGAAAGACACACACAAAUACACAUACAUUCACACACAUUAUUUUUCCACAUAGCCUUUUAUAACUCAUAAACCAGUUGACAUAUGGAGGCAUUACUGGACUUAUGAGUGUUUGUGAGAUUCUGUGUGUGUGAAUGCAUGAAAGACAAAUAAGUUCAAUGACACAAACUCAGGUAUAAAUCAGAAAUCCGUUUAUAGACUCCAAACUGUGCAAAAUGCAGCAGCAAGACUUCUAACAAAAAUCAAUAAAAGAGAACACACUACUCCGAUGUUCAUGACCUUAACACUGGCUGCCCAUUUGUUUACGGACUCAUGUUAAGAUUUUACUUGUUACUUUUAAAGUCCAUCAUGGCCUGGCCCCAGAAUAUAUAUCUGAACUGCUGUCCCCGUACCAAACAGCGUGCAACCUGUGAUCCUCAGGCAGGAACCUGCUGACUGUUACUGCCACAGGUUUAAAAUGGUGAUGGAGUGUUUGCUGUUAGGGCUCCUCAGCUGUGAAACAACCUGUCUGAGGAACUUCAGCUUGCUAUGCAUCUUCUUUUAAAUCACUUUUGAAAACGUAUCUUAGGCGAAAGGCUUUCCGAUAAUUUCUCCUUCAAAUUUUUAGAAGUAUUUUUAUUCUUAACUGGUGAGUUACACUCUUGACAUUGCACUAAAGUCUUGCACUGCUCUAUUUUAGUUCAAAUUCACCCACUGCUUUUACAUUUUCCAUUAUGGUUUUUAAUCGUCUAUUGUUCUUACAAGUUAAUUCCUUUGUCCCCCUUACAUUUGCCUGAUUAGUCAAAGAUUUUUUUUUAAUUUGUAAGGCACUUUGUACAAAUAAAAAUAACUUAGAGGCAGCUAUUGCGAAUUCAUGCUUCUUUGUUAAUGACCUACAAUAUUAUUCUUACCUUAAUAAUAAGAUAAAAAUAUAAUUCAGCCUGCCAGUCAUACCAUUAUAACCUAUCUGGAACUUGGAACCCACACUUAAAAACAACUCUUGUCAUUUUCAGAUCUACCUUCAUUAUUACAAAUACACAGAAAAUCUGUAUAAUAACUCUUAUUCAUAUACCGUAAUCCCUCACCAAAUGCCUUCAGGUAAGUAAGAAUGGAAAAAAGUCUUAUCAGUGUUGAAUAGAUAAUAUUGGAAUAAUUUUGUGUAUGUGUAAUAGAGUUUAUUUUUGAUGUCAACCCUGUAAAAGUGAUCAAAUUCUGAAAAUCUAUAGCAUUUUCCUUCAAUGUGUUAACUUCUGUUUUUAAUAAAGUAAAAACACACUCCU